GGGGAAGUAGCUCAGGGAGCAAUCCAAGGUUAGAGCGCUUAACGUGUCGGUAGGGGAAGCUUCGAAAAGGUAAAGUAAAAGCACCGUAAAGCACUACAGAGGUCAGCGGUUCGAGUCCGCUCUUCUCCA
rnacentral:tRNA from 1 species